UUGAGGCCACGCUCCCGCGGCACAGGGAGGCGUCUGGUGCCGGCCACCGAGCCCGCCGCUCCCGAGGGGCUGCGCGGGGGCGGCCGGGCAGUUACGCGUCCGAGUUUUCACACUACGGGCUAUCCCAAAGCUGCUGUGUUGUGCUUCCCUCCCUGGGCCAGAGCUGACAUCUGGAAAUGGCAUACAGAGGUUUGGAUGGAUGUGGUGCAAGAGCCAGGGCUGGGAUUUCUUGCCUUCUGGAGUGGCACUCCCAGGAAUCUUGGAAAUGAGCUUGGUUCUGGCAACAGGAACGAACCACUUGGUAAUAACUAUUUUCCUAAUGCUGAGGCCUUCUACACAUGUGCAGGAUCAGAGCACUGAGAUGAUAUUACAGACUCCAGCCCGAGCAUGUGUCAGAAAUCAGAAGGAGGAAACAAGGCUUUUAGUAAUAAUAAUUACCACAGUAUCGCCACAGCUCCUUCCACCUUGCCGUCACACACAUGUGUUUGGAAAUGGAGUGUUUUGUGUGGGAAAACAACAGCACUGAAUCCAGAAUGUGAAUACCUGCAGUGUGAAGAAUGUAAAAGUCAUGGCGCACCAGUGGGAUCCCAGGAGCUACUGCAUGCAGUCAAAACCAAAGCUGAAAUGCUGAGUGUCAAGCACAGCGAGUUCUUCAGUCACCUGCAGACGAGGCAUACAGGUAGUCUGAUAAUUUUGAACAAUAUGUAUGUGCAGGCAAGUUGUAAAGGCCAC